rnacentral:misc_RNA from 1 species
UGUGCUUGGAUGAUCCGGUAGUCGUUUUAGGUCCAUUUCAACUUGAUUGAUCGUCCAUUGCAUAUUUUCCAAUUUCUUUACAAUAUCAUGGUAUUGUCUUGCAAUUGUGUCGAAAUGAGGAUCCACACCUUGAUAUUCACGAAGGCGGGUAACCGCUUUAUUAUAUGCCAUAGAAGCUUCCUCUGUAGCCUCUACAAGAUACUUCCUUAUUUUAUGGAGGGCUGGAAUGGACUCCUGAGUAUAAGUUUCAAGCAGGAGAACAUGCUCUAGAACUCUUAAUUUUGCACUCAUGGUCUCACACCUUUUACACAGCCAAGUCUUUUGUAGUUCAUCAUAUUUAUGUUGAUGCUGCAACUUCAGAUCUUUUACAAGCUUAAUAAGCACUGCCAGUAUCUGCUCUAAGACAUUGUAGUAUUCUGCAA